rnacentral:rRNA from 1 species
CUAACAAGGAUUCCCCUAGUAACGGCGAGUGAAGCGGGAAGAGCUCAAGCUUAAAAUCUCCGUGCAAGUUUUGCGCGGCGAAUUGUAGUCUAUAGAGGCGUGGUCAGCGUGGGCGCUUGGGGCAAGUUCCUUGGAAGAGGACAGCAUGGAGGGUGAUACUCCCGUUCAUCCCUGAGUGGCUCGUGCGUACGACCCGUGUUCUUUGAGUCGCGUUGUUUGGGAAUGCAGCGCAAAGUAGGUGGUAAAUUCCAUCUAAAGCUAAAUAUUGGUGCGAGACCGAUAGCGAACAAGUACCGUGAGGGAAAGAUGAAAAGAACUUUGAAAAGAGAGUUAAAGAGUACCUGAAACUGCUGAAAGGGAACCGAAUCGUUUCCAGUGUCUAUAAUCCGUGGCAUAUUUCAUUGGCGAGUGUGCGCGUGCGUGUGCUGUGGCAGUGGCUUUUUUGGCUGCGCUCGGUGUGUGUGCUGUGUGUGCUUGCUGGUGCCCUGUGCUGCGGUGGGACGUCAAGGUCAGUUCGUAUGCUGCGGGAAAUGGCUGCCGAGGAGGUAGGGCUUACGCUCCGCGUUUGUCUGUUAUAUCUUGGUGGACGAGUCGUCGCGGUUGGGACUGAGGUGCCUACAACGUGCUUUUGAGUGGGUUUGUGUCUCCGUGUGCGCCGUGUGCGGAUAGCUUGCUAUGCGUGUGUGGUUGUGUGUGGAUUGAUGCGGGCUUUAACUUGUCGCCGUUCGGGACGUUGACGAAAUGGAGCGAUCCGACCCGUCUUGAAACACGGACCAAGGAGUCUAACAUGUGUGCAAGUGUUAGGGUGUGGAAACCCCAGCGCGAAAUGAAAGUGAAGGGCAGCGCAAGUUGUCUGAGGUAGGAAACGUUGCGGGCUUCGGUCUGCGGCGUGGCACUAUCGACCGAUCAUGAACCUUCGUGGUGAAAGAUUUGAGUUUGAGCACAUAUGUUGGUACCCGAAAGAUGGUGAACUAUGCCUGAGUAGGGUGAAGCCAGGGGAAACUCUGGUGGAAGCUCGUAGCGAUUCUGACGUGCAAAUCGAUCGUCAAACUUGGGUAUAGGGGCGAAAGACUAAUCGAACCAUCUAGUAGCUGGUUCCCUCCGAAAUUUCCCUCAGGAUAGCAGCAACUUAUUUACGAUAGUUUUAUGAGGUAAAGCGAAUGAUUAGAGGAUUCGGGGAAGAAACUUCCUCGACCUAUUCUCAAACUUUAAAUCUGUAAGACCUGCAGGUUUCUUAAUUGAACUUGCGGAUGUGAAUAUCAA